rnacentral:rRNA from 1 species
AGUGAACGCUGGCGGCGUGCUUAACACAUGCAAGUCGAACGAGAACGGAUUAUAGCUUGCUAUAAUUGUCAGCUGAGUGGCGCACGGGUGAGUAAUGUAUAGAUAACCUGCCCUCUAGAAAGGAAUAACAGUUGGAAACGACUGCUAAUGCCCUAUAUGCCUUUAAUACAUAAGUAUGCAAGGGAAACGCUUUAGUGCUAGAGGAUGGGUCUGUAUGGUAUCAGCUUGUUGGUGAGGUAAUGGCUCACCAAGGCUAUAACGCCUAACUGGUUGGAGAGGAUGAUCCGUCACACUGGAGAUGAGACACGGUCCAGACUCCUACGGGAGGCAGCAGUGGGGAAUAUUGCACAAUGGACGAAAGUCUGAAGCAGCAACGCAGCGUGGAGGAUGACACAUUUCGGUGCGUAAACUCCUUUUAUAUAGGAAGAUAAUGACGGUACUAUAUGAAUAAGCACCGGCUAACUCCGUGCCAGCCGCCGCCGUAAUAC